CCUGAGAGGCCAUGGCUUUGCUUCUCGGCCACAACCGGGAAUAAAGUGCGGGACUCUGCCGAGGCAAUCUGGCUGCUGACGACGCGCAAAUGCCCAAUGAGACUCACGGGACCGACAGCGAGAUGAAGACUAAAGGUUCAAAUGAACUACAAUACAGCACUUCGCCUUGUCUGCAGUGGGAGGACUGGUCAGAUUGGGGGAUGCGGUGUGUUGCCCCCUGCAAUGACUCACUGCCUCAUCAGACAAGUCCAACUCGGUCCCCACGGCUGGGGAAGGUUCAGGAACGAGGGAUCUGGACUGAGAGGUUCUGGCUAAUCGGGCUACACGUCCACUCCUUUGAUGAGUGAGCCUUCUAAGACUAUGGUGAAGUCCUGGAUGGUCUGCAGGAUGCGGAUGAGGGAGUUGACUGUCAUGCGGUCCCUCAGGAGGGCGCUCUCCUCGUACAUUCGGGUGAUGGCAGGGCACUCGGCCAACAACGGGAUCCACUGUGGCAGCAGCCGGUCCCUGCAACCCAAACAGACCCGAGCGUCCUGAGUGCGGCUGCCCACGCUGCACAACCAGGCACACACCCUGGGGCUUUCAGCGGGGAGCUGGGGGGCCGGACGGGGCAAGUCUAGCCACGCUCUGAGGUCACCAGAGAGGAAGGCAAAGUCGAGGAGCUGGAUAAUCACCGGUUAUGAAGACACAGCAAUGAGACAGUGUGAGCUAACGGGGAAGCUCGCCAGGGUUGGGACAAGCUGGGCAUAAAGAUUUACAUGCACUGACGAAAUUCUCUAUUCUGACUCCACCACUCUGAAAAAAGACGCAGAAUGUCAUUUUGUACUCCUUUUUUUACAGGGAUGUUAUUCAGACAUCUGUGGCAAGGCAUGCCAAAGUAUACUGACCUUUUGGGAAGGAAGACUCCAUUACAUUGUAGGGACUAGCAUUUUUAAAAAAAAACUUACGCAACAUAACAAGAAGCAUUUCGAUGACCUGAUAACAAAGUACACCUGCUUUAAUUUACCUAUGAAGUCCCAGAUGAAGACGUUCUUGUGAAAGAUGCGAGCCGAUUUGAAGCCGUGGUGGAAGACCUGCUCCAGAGCUGCGACCAGGCCACUCUCCCCACAGAGCAGCACGGUGAGGCUUCCUCUCUGUGGGGCGGAACACGCAGUGCCGGAGGUUUGUGAAAAUGUUUCACAAUAUUGUUCACAGCUUCUCCAAUGCCUUCCUGGAUCUGUCCAGCAUUUGGUUCUGAAAAAUAGUGAAUGGUGACUGAGUUCUCAUGGCCAGGAAAUAAACCGAAGCACUGCCGGAC